CUUGAAGUUAGCGCGGGCAAUUUUUUGUUGUUGUUGUCAACAACGUCUUCGUUUUGCUAACGUUAGAGGUCUUGUAAACAUUGAUAUAUAUAUUUUUUUCUUCUCACGAACUAAGGAUACGUGUCUAACUGUAUCAUAUGUGUCAACUUGAUUGCAAGUUUAGUUUCAGCGUGCAAAUAAUAACACUCCUUUUUCAAUAAUUGGGAGAAAUGGCGGAAGGGCUGUGCUACGCUAGCUAGACCGAUUUAUUAUCAAGCGGGCUAAAUACGUUUGGCUGAGUCUACACGGACAGAAAUGGACUCCAAAUACCCAAAUCUGGCGAGACCUCAGAAGAAGCUCCGGUACUUCUCCAGUAAAGCGAGGAAGGAAUUUUGAACGACAGUCAAGUGAUGAACAGCUGUGGUGAUGCGAUGCAAUAGCCAACGUGCUGGAAAAUAGGUGUUGGCGAGGAAUGUCCAGAAUAUACUAUUUUGGUUCCUCAUUCGUUAUGCCGGUGAAGACCGUCGUGCCUGGACCCAUGUCGGAUCUAAUAUCCCUAGCAAGUUGACCAUAUGUCGUCUGAUUGAUUUACAGUAGGGUCUCGUUAGAUUUAACAGAGAAAGCAUCAAGGUAAUGAGUUUUUGUUUUUGUGCCUCCCUGGUUGGACACUGAGUCUACUGUGUGCAAUUGUGUAGGAUUGAGUAUUGCGCAACUCCCAG
rnacentral:lncRNA from 1 species